GAUUAUGGCUCAGAACGAACGCUGGCGGCGCGUCUUAAGCAUGCAAGUCGAACGGCAAGAGGUAGCAAUACCUCCUAGAGUGGCGGACUGGUGAGUAACACGUGGGUGACAUACCCUUCAGAUGGGGAUAGCUAUUAGAAAUAGUAGAUAAUACCGAAUACGAGCACAGGGGUUAGAGAUCUGUGAGGAAAGGAGCUAAGGCUCCGCUGAAGGAAUGGCCUGCGGCCCAUUAGCUAGUUGGUGAGGUAAGAGCCCACCAAGGCGAUGAUGGGUAUCCGGCCUUAGAGGGUGAACGGACACAUUGGGACUGAGAUACGGCCCAGACUCCUACGGGAGGCAGCAGCUAAGAAUAUUCCGCAAUGGACGAAAGUCUGACGGAGCGACGCCGCGUGGAAUGGAGAAGGCCGGAAGGUUGUAAAAUCCUUUUGAAACUGAAGAAUAAGCGUUGUAGGGAAUGACAGCGUGGUGACAGUAGGUUUUGAAUAAGCAACGGCUAAUUACGUGCCAGCAGCCGC
rnacentral:rRNA from 1 species